rnacentral:rRNA from 1 species
GGGUUGUGAGGUUAAGCGACUAAGCGUACACGGUGGAUGCCCUGGCAGUCAGAGGCGAUGAAGGACGUGCUAAUCUGCGAUAAGCGCCGGUAAGGUGAUAUGAACCGUUAUAGCCGGCGAUUUCCGAAUGGGGAAACCCAGUGUGAUCCGUCACACUAUCGUUAACUGAAUACAUAGGUUAACGAAGCGAACCGGGGGAACUGAAACAUCUAAGUACCCCGAGGAAAAGAAAUCAACCGAGAUUCCCCCAGUAGCGGCGAGCGAACGGGGAGGAGCCCAGAGUCUGAAUCAGCAUGUGUGUUAGUGGAACGGUCUGGAAAGUCCGACGAUACAGGGUGAUAGUCCCGUACACAAAAACGCAUGUGUUGUGAACUCGA